UCCCCCUCCAGGGUGGACCUCCCGUGAGCGGAGACGUCCAAGAUUGCAGGGAAAUACUGGGGAGAAAAGUGCCCCCGGAGGAGCAGAAAGAGUACCUCUACUUGCCGGCUUGUGAUGACUGACAUUUUCUCUGAGACGAUGGCCUGGACCAAAAUGAGAAGUACAUUUCCGUCGCCGAUCGCAAAGUAGCAAAGUAGCAGGCGACAGGCUGAGGACUGCCGGGCGAACGAUGGAUCCCUGUGAAGAUCUAGAAGUGUCCGGUGGCAAAUCUCAGGACUCUAGGGGGGGCCAGCCUCAUGAACUUGAAGGACCACAGGCCAGCGGUCCUGAGGCGCUGGGGAAGGACUCUGCUGAGAUGUGGAGCCGGAAAUACCAGCUGCGGAGCAGAUACGUGCAGACCAGCAACAGUGAACCGCAAGAUCAAAACAGAGUUUCCAAAGACCUUAUUACGGUUGUCCAAGAAAUGAAAAAAUACUUCCCGUCAGAGAGACAGAGUAAACCAAGCACCCUGGAUGCUCUCAACUAUGCCCUUCGCUGCGUACACAGCGUGCAAGCAAACAGUGAGUUUUUCCAGAUUCUCAAUCAGAAUGGAGCACCUCAAGCAGACGUGACCAUGUACAGUCUUGAGGAGCUGGCCACUAUUGCUUCAGAGCACGCUUCCAAAAACACAGAUACCUUUGUGGCAGUUUUUUCAUUUCUGUCUGGAAGGUUAGUGCACGUUUCUGAACAGGCUCCUUCGAUCCUGCAUUGUAAGAAAGAGUUCUUAGAGUCCUCUCAUUUCGUUGAACUGCUUGCCCCUCAAGACGUGAGGGUGUUCUACACACACACUGCCCAUGCUCAGCUUCCUUUCUGGAACAACUGGACCCAAAGAGCAGCCUCAUACUAUGAAUUCGCUCCGGUGAAAUCCUUUUUCUGCAGGAUCCGUGGAGGUGAAGCCCGGGAGCUGGGGCAGCCUUACUGCCCGUUCCGGAUUAUCCCCUAUUUGAUUCACGUGCACAGCUCGGCCCGCCCGGAGCCUGAACCCUGCUGUCUCACGCUGGUGGAGAAGAUUCAUUCUGGUUACGAAGCUCCUCGAAUCCCAGUGGAUAAAAGAAUUUUUACCACAACACACACUCCCGGGUGUGUUUUUCUUGAAAUAGAUGAAAGAGCAGUGCCUUUGCUGGGUUACCUACCUCAGGAUCUGAUUGGAACGUCCAUCCUGACAUACCUGCACCCGGAAGAUCGUUCUCUGAUGGUCGCCGUACACCAAAAAGUCUUGAAGUAUGCAGGCCAUCUUCCCUUUGAACAUUCACCCAUUAGAUUUUGUUCUCAAAAUGGGGAUUACAUAGUAUUGGAUUCCAGUUGGUCCAGCUUUGUGAACCCAUGGAGCCGGAAGGUUUCUUUCAUAAUUGGUCGGCAUAAAGUGCAAACGAGUCCACUAAAUGGGGAUGUCUUUGCCACCAGAAUAAAGAAGAUGAACAGUAAUGACAAAGACAUAACGGAAUUACAAGAACAAAUUCACAGACUUCUCUUACAGCCCGUUCACGGGAGCGCAUCCAGUGGCUAUGGGAGCCCGGGCAGCAGUGGGUCUCAGGAGCAUCACCUCAGCACCGCGUCCUCCAGUGAGUCCAGCGGGCGCUGCGUGGAGGAGGUGCAGAAGGCACCGUUGACUUUGCAGCAGGUCUAUGCCAGUGUAAACAAAAUCAAGAAUCUAGGCCAGCAGCUGUACAUCGAGUCAAGGGCCAAAUCACCAAAGAAGCAAGUGAUGGGGACCGGCAAGGGACAGCGUGGUGAUGAGCAGAAGACCUUUUCUUCCUUCCAGACAUUAAAAAAUAAUAGCAUGUACACCGAGGCUUGUGAGGAUUUGAGAAAGGAUCAGCAUAGCCCAUCCUAUCAGCAAAUAAACUGUAUUGAUAGCGUUAUCCGGUACCUGAAGAGCUACAACAUUCCAGCUUUGAAGAGAAAGUGUAUCUCCUGUACAAAUACGACUUCCUCAUCCUCGGAAGAAGACGGACAAAGCCACAGAGCAGAUGAUGUCCAAGCACUGCAAGUUGCUCUUACAUCACCAGCUGUUUCUCAGAUCCCAGCCGUACCUACAGCAGAAAUGCCAGCUAAUGGACGGUCCACAGAUGCUGAAGGAGGAGCUCCACGGACACUGACCGAGGCGGCUCUGAGCCUGGACGUGAGGCAGUGCAGCUACAGCAGCACCGUUGUUCACAUGCCACCACCGGAGUCAGAAUUGAGUCCAGCAGAGCUUGGCACCCUGCCCAGUGAGCCCUGGACCCUCAGCACAAACCCAGCUCCACUGGCCUCAGAAGAGUUUAAACACAUAGGGCUCACAAAGGCUGUGCUGUCAGCCCACACGCAGAAGGAAGAACAGUGUUAUGUGGAUCAAUUCCGGGACAAGAUUCUGUCAUCACCCUACAGCUCCUAUCUUCAGCAAGAACGCAGAAGCAAAGCUAAAUAUUCAGAUGUUCAAGGAUAUUCUGCUUCCAAGCCUACCCGAUCCGCUGGUUGCAGGAAGGGGAAGCACAAGCGUAAGAAGCUGCUCAUGUGGUCGGGCAGCAAGGGCACUAAGGAUGACUUCUGUCCCCACCUCGUAGGAGAGGCCCAGGAUGGACAGCCCUGGUGCCCUUUGUCCACCUCCUCUCCUCAUGCCUCUGGCCCAUCGUUCCCGGCUGCAGUGGUGGUUUCCAGCCAGGCCCCUUGCCUCGUCCAAGCCCUUCCCCUCCCAACCGUGACCUCCCUGGGGAGAGAACGUGCAGCCUCAGAAACUGCGCUGCAGAGUCUGCCUGAGCCGCCUUUCCCCAAUGGCUUGCAGUCUUUCCCAGCUCUGCCCUCUGCUUGCUUAGAUACUUUUAUGAACAUCUUCCUGCAUGACCCCCCUAUCUGUCCUCUCUUGUUACCACCAUUCUCCCCAUAUCCAUUCUUGGGAGCAGCAGACUCUUCUGAAAUACCCUCCUCGGUAUCAGCAGUGGCUCCAAAUCCAGGCCCACCAUCUUCAGCCAUCAGCCAAAGGAGUGGCGAGGGAAAGUGGGGGACCCAGAAUGAAGGGCACCCCCUCAUUAACUCAAAGAGCAGCUCCCCGCUCCAGCUUGACCGGCUGCAGGAAGACAGGCCCAGAUCCUGUGCAUCCCCAGAAGCUGAGUAUCAGCCUGUCAGUCUCAACAGUGAGAAUAAGAACGAUCAUUUUACUACCAGUGAACUGUCUACAGUGUCACUGCAUGAGGCUUCUCUGCCGGGAACUGGUUCUGCAGCAGCAGCAGGAAGCAUUGGCAGCAGUAUAAACUUUGCUACUAGUGAUUAUUCUUCUGAAAUCUUUCAAAAUGGGCAGCAAUCUCAGGAUGUACUGAAAAAAGAAACAUUUCCCAACUUAGCUGAAGAGUCCAUCUGGAGAAUGAUAGAACAAACACCUGAGUGCAUUCUGAUGACGUAUCAGGUGCCUGAGAGGGUUAAAGAAAUUGUACUGAAAGAAGACCUAGUAAAACUGGAAAGCAUGAGGCGGCGGCAGCCGCAGUUUUCUCACGGACAAAGGGAGGAGCUGGCCAAUGUGCAUUCCUGGAUUCAGAGCCAGACGAUUCCUCAGGAAAUAGACAUCCAGGGCUGUGUCACUUGCGAAAACGGAGAUUCAGCUGGUGAUGCUGCAGAAUCCUGUGGUCCGGAUCCAGCAGAAGCAGCAGUUGAGUGACUCUGAAGAUGCAUCUGUACUCCCUCUCCAGGCCUGUGGGACAGCUAGACCUCCUUGUGAUUCUCUCUAAACCCCUGGGUCUUAAAUGACCAUGAAGUUAUUAUUGAAUGUUAAGGCUUUUCCUUCCUGAUUUUUUAACAGACAUCAUUUUCCUGAAGCAGACAUUGUAUAUAGACUCUUUUACUUCUUUUUUUCCCCAAUGUAUUUAAACUGUCAAAUAGACUCUUUUUCUAGUUUACCUGUCCUGUAAUGAGAUUGGAUGGCCUCUAAAGAGGUAUGUGUACAGUCACACUUUAUUUCAGAUGUCACCCCAAAUAAAUUACAAUCAGAAGUAUAGCUAGAGGACUUCCCUGGUGGUGCAGUGGUUAAGACUCUGCCUGCCAAUGCAGGGGACACAGGUUCGAUCCCUGGUCUGGGAAGAUCCCACAUGCCGUGGAGCAACUAAGCCCAUGCGCCACAACUACUGAGCCCACGCACCACAACUACUGAAGCCUGCGCACCUAGAGCCCAUGCUCUGCAACAAGAGAAGCCACUGCAAUGAGAAGCCCGAGCACCACAACGAAGAGUAGCCCCUGCUUGCCACAACUAGAGAAAGCCCACGCGCAGCAAGAAGACCCAAUGCAGCCAAAAAUAAAAUAAAUAAAUUUAUUUUUUUAAAAAAAUAUAGCUAGAAAAAGUAUAGCUAGAAAGAGCCCCAAACCUUAGCCUCAUUGAUUUUGUUCUGUUGUUAUAUGAAUCAUUUCCCCCUGUUGGAGACUUCAGGAAAUCCCCACUAUGGGCCAUGUACCUUUCCUAACGGUGGCCAUAAAUACAGUGCCCUCACCUGGUCUUUGCACGGUGACACAUCCCUCCACAGUUAGGGUCUGAUAUUCCAGUUUUCUCACAACACAACACAGAUCACUUCAGCAUUGACCAGUAUGAAAAUGUAUUGCCCAUUGGUGUACCGGAAAUUUCUAGCUUUUAGGGUUGAAUUUUGACCUUCAUUUUUGUAGAUGCUUUUCCUUUUGAUUUUCUACCUUCCACUGAAAUUCUCAAAGUCUUAGUUAAAAAUGGAUCAGCUUAACAUGAGCUUAUUCUUUGCAGGGUUUAAAUUAGCUUUUGCAUGUGUAAUGUUAAAACAAAAGAGCUUCUAGCUCAACCAGCUUCUGACUCAUCCCUUUUGAAAUUUUUAAAUAAUGAUUGCAAAAAGUUUUUAAAGUUAUGUAAGAGUUAAUGUUGUUCUUAUAUGCGUAUGUGUUUAAAUGUUGUCUUAUCAAAACUAACAGUUAACUCUUUCUUUCCAACCAAUUUACACAAAAGAAGGUCUCUCCAUCCCUGCCAGAGGUCUGAUUGGCACUGCCUUCUUUUUGUCCUUAAAUAGGGGUAAGUAUUGCCCUUAAAUAGGGGUAAGGGGCCUACGGGAGGCCCCUAGCCAAGAGGGUUGCAGAAUCUGUCACAAAUGAGGGCUUCCUGGGCCUGCUGAAGUUGUGUCUUUUAAGAAGUGAGUGAGUUGUCCACAUGAUAAGUGAGUCCCCUCUUCUUAGAGAAGUGAUGAUUCCUUCUCAAACUUGGAAUGACAUGCAGUUCACACCCAUGUAGAUCAGAACCAGGAAUAGAAGGAAAUGAAGGCUGGAAUAACCUUUUCUCUUUUCAAUAACAUGCAACACACUCACUUACUUUUCUUUUUUUGUUGUUGUGUUUUUUUGUUUUUUUUUGUUUUAGGAAAACACUUCUUCCUUUCAGGUUUUAUAGUUUUUUAUAAAAUGCCUCCUGAUCAUAAUUAGGAGAAUCAACCUUUCUACCCACAGUGCUGCUGGACUCUGAUUUUCAAGCCUCGUAGCUUAGAUUUACUUUCUAAAGUAGAACAGACAGCUCUCGAAUCUGCAGCGGAUUGGUUCCAGGACCCCCUCGCAGAUGCUAAAAUCCACGGAUGCUCAAGCCCCUUCUGUAACAUGGCGGUACAGUCAGCCCUCUGUCCCUGCGGUUCCACAUGCAGGAUUCUACACCCCUCCCCGAUUCUCCCCACCAGGAAUACGGGGGGCCAACUGUAGUUUCCUAGAAGAUUCUGAAGAGUGAACCUGUGUUUCACAAAGUCUGACUGUGGAACUGGCAGCAACAGAAUCUUGGAAUUAAAAUAUGAAUUGGGAUCCUGAAGCCAACAGGACUUGCUAAAUGUUACACCUUUCAAACCACCUGCACCUCCUGUCGUAAUAAAACAACAGCAACCCAAGAAGGGAAGAGAGCUCAGUGUUGAUGGGAUGUGUACUCCUCCCGCAGGGACUGUUCUGGUGCUUCCCAUGAAUUAUCUCAUUUAAUACAACCACGAAAUAAGCAGCGUCACUGCCCUCAUUUUACAGAGAAGGACACGGGUGGAGAGAGCCGGAUGACCUGGUCAGGGCCUCACAGCUGGGUGGGAGCAAUGACUUGACGCCAGAGCCCUGUCUGUAAGAGCAGCUGCCUAGUAUCACAAAAACGGGAGGGAUUUGGGAUUCUACGGCGAUGGAAUCCACCCUAAGCUCUUCCUGGUGUCAUAAACAUAGUGGCACUCGUGGGGCCAGAGUCCUGUGUUAGGGAACUGGAUUCAGUUGAAUUUCAGCAGCAAGCGAUGCCGCAGCAUCCUCACGGCCACAUGUCAGCAUGUUCCUGAGAUGACGCAUCCAUCCUUCAAGCGGAAAACAACUUGCCUACAGAUUUGUUCUUGAUGUCUUAGACCUGGAAAGGGAAGAUUUAUCAGACCUGUGCUCUAAAGAGAUUUUGGAUGGUUGUUGACAAGAUCAAUACCGAUUUUGUGGCUGUUUGGUGCAGACCUGACCCUUCAUUCCUCCUGAGUUGGGGGUGUGAUUGGCGACAGAGCCGAGAAGGGGAGCCUGGGUUUCCCAUAAGAAGUGCUUUCCCGCGGGCAUGGGCCAUGCUGGGAGCUGCAUGGAGCUCACGGGUCUCAGCUCCAUACUCUAUACAUAGAUAAGCUACGAUGGUAUAGAUGUAUUAAGAGAAUAAGUUAGUAUGUGCACACACACACAUGGUUUUUAAAAUUAACAAACCAGGCUAUAUCUUCCAUUCCACAAUCUUAAAUCCCACCUCAAUUUUCUUCUCUAAGAAACAGAUUAUGAAGGUAUUUUUCUAGUACUGUGCUCCUUGAGCUCACAGAAACUGACAUCAAACAAGCUUCAGUGUUAAGAGAUUAAAGUUUUCAAGUGUUCAGUACUUAGGUUAACUAAGGGAGAGGGGAUCUGAGUGUGUGGAUGCCCUCCUUCAAAAACAAAGGAGAAUUCAGACUGUCCCCAGUCCUCAUCUUUAGGCAUCCUUCAUUUUGGAUGCUUUUCCAAGCUAAGAUACUGGUUUUUUUUGUUUUUUUUUUAAAGUAAUAACUCACGUUAUUUUUAAGGGUUGAGAGGACAUCAUCACUAAGAUAAUGUAGGUUAAAUGAUUUGUAGUUUUACUGUUUUAACUAAAAUUUUAUGACUUUUUCUUCUUAGUAUUUGCUUCUGUUCAUUUAUUUGUUUACUUUUAAACUUUUAGAUAAUUCUUUAAAGAUAAAUUGAUGGAUAGAUUUUCAGGAUAUGUUUAUAAGUAAAAUAACCACUCAUGAUAUUUGCAAAACAUAGAGGAUUUAUUUUCCAAAUAAUAAUGAACAGGGUAUAGCUUGCCUAGUUUUUCAUCUAUAGUGCUUUCAAAUCAAGCAUUUUUAUUUUGCUUUUUCUAAGAUGGUUGGUUUUGAGUUGACUAGUAGAUGUUCAUGUCACUUCAGACACAGUAUUUCCAGAAGCAUUCAGAGGGAGUUCCACGUUUCUUGUAUGGUUUCCUGAUUCUGGCUAAAAGGUGACUCAGUGAAAUGUUAGGAUCUUGUCCUGAGAAAGCCUGAAAUUAAAACAAUCCAAAUAAAAAAACAGGUUAUCAAUGAAUUGAGUCCUACACACACAAAUAGGAACCUUAGUUCAGAUGUAGGACCUUUAAAAAGUGUUUUCUUGCUGCUUUAUGGGAUAGAAUUGCGGUGAGUGCCCAGCGUGUAGGCUCUGGAAGGUCUCCUUGUGCCCUACCUGUGGUCCAUCCAGUCUGUUUAGCCCUGUGAUUGCCGUGAAUUUUCCUAAACCCUCAUUGACCUAUUUCUAUUUAAAUCUGUCAGUAACAUGUUCUGUCCAUUUACUCUCUUCUCUGUAAAGUAGGCCUUUUAUUUGUCUUGAAAUUAACUUCUUUAAGCAUGGACCCUUAGUUUUCUUUCUUUUUUUUUUUCUAGGAUUUCAUGAGCAAAUCCUAAUCACCUUUAUGAUUUUAGAGUCUUUCAUCAGAACCCUUCUGUUCGGAACAAUAUAAACAUCUGAAUGAUAACGUUUAAUGUAGAAGCCACCCCAUCCCCUUCUGGGCGGUUUACCUGCCCUGGGGCCUCAGGUGGUGUACGCCAUCUUCAGAACUGAGGGAUUCCAGAGUAUAUCUUUAUAAGGAUGGUAAUGGGUGCUACACCAAAAAAAAGGUGUCUCUGGUCAAAAUAUUUGGGAAAUGCUUGGUUAAAAUUAAAUAUGCUUAUCUCAUUUCCUGGAGGCUUUAACAUGCUAAUAAUGUACAUAAAGAAUUACCAGGACGGGAAGAGGGGCUAGAACCCAGGGCGUCACUGUAGGCUGGCUCGUGGGACUGGUAUACCUGGAAAGCCCUUUAGGAGACACUAAUUUAGAGUUUGAGAGGUUGAUAAUGAUCAAAUACAGAUUUUUCUUUCAGUGUUUAAGGUCCUCCAUUAACUGUGCACCAUUUCUAACCAUUUACUAUUAUCAUUCGUCAAUCCCAAUCACAGUCUAUCUUCUGCACCCAAAAUGAUUUCCUUCAUAUUCUGCUCUUUCACACGUAUGACAUCUCAGGGUUUUGACCAUGUCUUUCUUCUGUUUAGACAUCAUAUGGCAGUGCUUGUCAUACUUUAUUUAAUGUGCAUAAGAAUCACCUGGGGAAUCUUGGUAAGAUGCAGAUUUUGAUUCAGUAGGUGCUGGGGGGUGGGGUCUGAGAGUCUGCGUUUCUCACAAACUUCCACAUGAUACCAAUACUGAUGGUCCUCAGACCACGUGAAGAUGAUCAAUGACACAGCACAAGUGGGUGACAAACUUGAGGGCAGGGGCCUUAUCUAUUUUUUAUCCUCUUAAACUCGUUACAAUAAUUUAUCCAGAAUGGGCACUGGAUAAGUUCUUGUUGCAUCCACAUUUAUAUGGAUCAAAAUUUGGAACAUGCUUUGAAGUAAUACUGACUGACCAGUUAUUUUAAGGUGUGAUUUCUACCGAAAAUGCUCGACUGGUUCAUGAAUUGAGGCUCCUCUAUAGUCAAGGCAUAGAAUGCUCACUUUUUUAACAUAAUUCUCAUGAUGGAGCUACUUACCUUUCUCGCACUUCCUCUUGGGUAAAAAAUGUUGGUACCGGGAUCUGGAAAACAGUAUUUUGAAACCAUUCAUCAUCAGAUCUAUUAUUUCCAUUUUAUACUUGUCUUAUUUAAAACACACAAAAUAGAAUAUUCCUAAAUCAUGUCUAGUUUCUGAUUUUCCUUUUUUCACACCACAGUGAUACUUACUUGAAGGAAGAUAGGCAGGCACCUGGUUCUUUCUCGCUUCCGGAAUUCACAAAGGGCACUGCAUUUCCCUAAGU